rnacentral:rRNA from 1 species
GACGUAGGGCGCGAGCGUUGUCCGGAUUUAUUGGGCGUAAAGAGCUCGUAGGCGGCUUGUCGCGUCGACCGUGAAAACUUGGGGCUCAACCCCAAGCCUGCGGUCGAUACGGGCAGGCUCGAGUUCGGUAGGGGAGACUGGAAUUCCUGGUGUAGCGGUGAAAUGCGCAGAUAUCAGGAGGAACACCGGUGGCGAAGGCGCCACUCUGGGCCGAAACUGACGCUGAGGAGCGAAAGCGUGGGUAGCAAACAGG